ACAAGAAUUAAACAAAUUUCCAAGAUUCUACUUAAGUAUCUAUUUGGGUUAAAUUUGGACACCGAAAACCCGACCAUAUUUAUACGGUCGUAUUCUUAAGUCUUAAGAAUAAGAUCUGAGAGACCCCACCCCCAAAUUCCAACAAAAAAAUCCUCAUUCAUAAUCAACGGUUUUCAUGGCGAACGAGAUGGGUAGGCCGCAUCAUCAUCAUCAUGAACAAGAAGGCACCAAAAUCCUUGAUACGGCGCCGUUUUUGGUUCUUUUACUAAUUGCUGCUCACGUUAUUGCUCUGGUAUAUGGGAUCUACAAAUUGGCGACAUCCAAACAGCAGCCAACACCCCAACACCUCAAGAAAAGAAGUUAGUCGUCGUCAUCGUCAUCGUUGUCGUAUUCAUCUUUUGGAAAAUUGUAGUAAUUUUUUUUUUAGGUUGUAAUUUUAAUUUUACUUGCUACUAUCAAAAGCAAUCAAUUCAGGCUUUAACUUUUUA